UACGUAGGGUGCAAGCGUUGUCCGGAAUUAUUGGGCGUAAAGAGCUCGUAGGCGGUCUGUCGCGUCGGCUGUGAAAACCCGGGGCUCAACCCCGGGCCUGCAGCCGAUACGGGCAGACUAGAGUUCGGCAGGGGAGACUGGAAUUCCUGGUGUAGCGGUGAAAUGCGCAGAUAUCAGGAGGAACACCGGUGGCGAAGGCGGGUCUCUGGGCCGAUACUGACGCUGAGGAGCGAAAGCGUGGGGAGCGAACAGG
rnacentral:rRNA from 1 species